rnacentral:rRNA from 1 species
AUUGAACGCUGGCGGCAGGCCUAACACAUGCAAGUCGAACGAGUGGCGGACGGGUGAGUAAUGUCUGGGAAACUGCCUGAUGGAGGGGGAUAACUACUGGAAACGGUAGCUAAUACCGCAUACCAUCGGAUGUGCCCAGAUGGGAUUAGCUAGUAGGUGGGGUAAAGGCGCACCUAGGCGACGAUCCAUAGCUGGUCUGAGAGGAGGACGAGCCACAUGGGAAUUGAGAUACGGUCCAGACUCCGACGGGAGGCAGCAGUGGGGAAUAUUGCACAAUGGGCGCAAGCCUGAUGCAGCCAUGCCGCGUGUAUGAAGAAGGCCUUCGGGUUUUAAAGUACUUUCAGCGGGGAGGCGUUACCCGCAGAAUAAGCACCGGCUAACUUCGUGCCAGCAGCCGCGGUAAUUC